UGAAGGUGCUUUCCUUUAGAAAUAAAAAAA
rnacentral:piRNA from 1 species